rnacentral:rRNA from 1 species
AGGCAGCAGUAGGGAAUAUUGGGCAAUGGACGAGAGUCUGACCCAGCCAUGCCGCGUGCAGGAAGACGGCGUUCUGCGUUGUAAACUGCUUUUAUCUGGGAAGAAAAAGUCCAUGCGUGGAAAAUUGCCGGUACCAGAUGAAUAAGCACCGGCUAACUCCGUGCCAGCAGCCGCGGUAAUACGGAGGGUGCAAGCGUUGUCCGGAUUUAUUGGGUUUAAAGGGUGCGUAGGCGGCUGAUUAAGUCAGUGGUGAAAGUUUUGGGCUCAACCCAGAAAUUGCCAUUGAUACUGGUCGGCUUGAGUAUUGGAGGGGUACAUGGAAUUGAUGGUGUAGCGGUGAAAUGCAUAGAUACCAUCAGGAACACCGAUAGCGAAGGCAUUGUACUGGCCAAUAACUGACGCUGAUGCACGAAAGCAUGGGUAGCGAACAGGAUUAGAUACCCUGGUAG